rnacentral:misc_RNA from 1 species
AUGCGAUAAGUAGUGUGAAUUGCAUAAUUUUGUGAAUCAUCGAAUCUUUGAACGCAAAUUGCACUCCCUGGUAUUCCGGGGAGUAUGCCUGUUUGAGGGUCGUUAGAAUAAAAAUCGAGGCGUCGCUCUUUUUUUUAAGGGUGAUCGCGUCGGAAUUGAGCCGUCUUGCAAAUGUUAAUUCAUGUCAAAGUGGCUUAAAAUUCAUCCAUCCGGUACGAUUAAAGCGUAUUUAAGAUCAAUGUUGAUUAAGAACGCGCGAUGACGUACCAUCUCAUGUAGUACGUUUGACCUGGCGUCGUCAGGAUCAUUCGUAUACGAUACUCAAACUUUUGACCUCAAAUCAGGUAAGAAUACCCGCUGAACUUAA